GAUGAACGCUGACAGAAUGCUUAACAUAUGCAAGUCAUUGGCGAAGCUGCGCUUGCGCAGUCUAGCCAAGGCGGACGGGUGAGUAACGCGUAAGGAACUUGCCCUGCAGACAGGGAUAACAGACGGAAACGACUGAUAACACCUGGUAUUGUCAGGCUGGCGCAUGCCGGCCUGAUGAAAGGAGACGCUGCAGGAGAGCCUUGCGUCCUAUUAGCUAGUUGGUGGGGUAACGGCCCACCAAGGCGAUGAUAGGUAGCCGGCCUGAGAGGGUGAACGGCCACAAGGGGACUGAGAUACGGCCCUUACUCCUACGGGAGGCAGCAGUGGGGAAUAUUGGACAAUGGGGGCAACCCUGAUCCAGCAAUUCUGUGUGCACGAAGAAGGUUUUCGGAUUGUAAAGUGCUUUCAGCAGGGAAGAAGAAAGUGACGGUACCUGCAGAAGAAGCGACGGCUAAAUACGUG
rnacentral:rRNA from 1 species